rnacentral:rRNA from 1 species
AACGACUCUCGGCAACGGAUAUCUCGGCUCAUGCAUCGAUGAAGAACGUAGCAAAAUGCGAUACUUGGUGUGAAUUGC